GACGAACGCUGGCGGCGUGCUUAACACAUGCAAGUCGAACGGAAAGGCCCUGCUUUUGUGGGGUGCUCGAGUGGCGAACGGGUGAGUAACACGUGAGUAACCUGCCCUUGACUUUGGGAUAACUUCAGGAAACUGGGGCUAAUACCGGAUCUGAGCUCCUGCUGCAUGGUGGGGGUUGGAACGUUUCGGCGGUUGGGGAUGGACUCGCGGCUUAUCAGCUUGUUGGUGGGGUAGUGGCUUACCAAGGCUUUGACGGGUAGCCGGCCUGAGAGGGUGACCGGCCACAUUGGGACUGAGAUACGGCGCAGACUCCUACGGGAGGCAGCAGUGGGGAAUAUUGCACAAUGGGCGGAAGCCUGAUGCAGCAACGCCGCGUGCGGGAUGACGGCCUUCGGGUUGUAAACCGCUUUCGCCUGUGACGAAGCGUGAGUGACGGUAAUGGGUAAAGAAGCACCGGCUAACUACGUG
rnacentral:rRNA from 1 species